rnacentral:rRNA from 1 species
AGAUUGAACGCUGGCGGCAUGCUUUACACAUGCAAGUCGAACGGUAACAGGCCGCAAGGUGCUGACGAGUGGCGAACGGGUGAGUAAUGCAUCGGAACGUGCCCAGUCGUGGGGGAUAACGGCAGCGAAAGCUGUGCUAAUACCGCAUACGAUCUAUGGAUGAAAGCGGGGGACCGAAAGGCCUCGCGCGAUUGGAGCGGCCGAUGUCAGAUUAGCUAGUUGGUGGGUAAAGGCCCACCAAGGCGACGAUCUGUAGCUGGUCUGAGAGGACGACCAGCCACACUGGAACUGAGACCACGGUCCAGACUCCGUAACGGGAGGCUAGCAGGUAGGGGUAAUUUUGGACAAGUGGGCGCGAAGCCUGACUCCAGACAAGU